rnacentral:rRNA from 1 species
AUGAACGCUAGCGACAGGCCUAACACAUGCAAGUCAGGGGCAGCACAAGGAGCAAUCUGAGGUGGCGACCGGCGCACGGGUGAGUAACACGUAUGCAACCUGCCUGUAAGCGGGGAAUAACCCGUUGAAAGACGGACUAAUACCGCAUAAUACUAAAUUACUGCAUGGUAAUUUAUUUAACAUUUAUGGCUUACAGAUGGGCAUGCGCAUGAUUAGCUAGUUGGAGAGGUAACGGCUCCCCAAGGCAACGAUCAUUAGGGGUUCUGAGAGGAAGGUCCCCCACACUGGUACUGAGACACGGACCAGACUCCUACGGGAGGCAGCAGUGAGGAAUAUUGGUCAAUGGACGAGAGUCUGAACCAGCCAAGUCGCGUGCAGGAAGAAUGUCCUAUGGAUUGUAAACUGCUUUUGCAGGGGGAAUAAAGUGCAUCACGUGUGAUGUUUUGUAUGUACUCUGCGAAUAAGGAUCGGCUAACUCCGUGCCAGCAGCAGC